rnacentral:rRNA from 1 species
CCUACGGGAGGCAGCAGUGGGGAAUAUUGCACAAUGGGCUAAACCCUGAUGCAGCGACGCCGCGUGAGUGAAGACGUAUUUCUGUAUUUAAAGCUCUAUCAGCAGGGAAGAAGCAAGACGUUACCUGACUAAGAAGCCCCGGCUAACUACGUGCCAGCAGCCGCGGUAAUACGUCGGGGGCAAGCGGUAUCCGGAUGUACUGGGGUUAAAGGGAGGGUAGACGGUAUGGCAAGUCUGAAGUUAAAGUCCAGGGGCUAAACCUGGGACUGCUUUUGAAACUGUUAGACUAGAGUGCUGGAGAGGUAAGUGGAAUUCCUAGUGUAGCGGUGAAAUGCGUAGAUAUUAGGAGGAACACCAGUGGCGAAGGCGGCUUACUGGAGAGUAACUGACGUUGAGGCUCGAAAGCGUGGGUAUCGAACAGGAUUAGAUACCCGAGUAGUC